UACGUAGGGUGCGAGCGUUAAUCGGAAUUACUAGGCGUAAAGCGUGCGCAGGCGGUGCUGUAAGACAGGCGUGAAAUCCCCGGGCUUAACCUGGGAAUGGCGCUUGUGACUGCAGUGCUGGAGUGCGGCAGAGGGGGAUGGAAUUCCGCGUGUAGCAGUGAAAUGCGUAGAUAUGCGGAGGAACACCGAUGGCGAAGGCAAUCCCCUGGACCUGUACUGACGCUCAUGCACGAAAGCGUGGGGAGCAAACAGG
rnacentral:rRNA from 1 species